AGUGAACGCUGGCGGUAGGCCUAACACAUGCAAGUCGAACGGCAGCACAAGAGAGCUUGCUCUCUGGGUGGCGAGUGGCGGACGGGUGAGGAAUACAUCGGAAUCUGCCCAGUCGUGGGGGAUAACGUAGGGAAACUUACGCUAAUACCGCAUACGACCUUCGGGUGAAAGAGGGGGAUCGCAAGACCUCUCGCGAUUGGAUGAGCCGAUGUCGGAUUAGCUAGUUGGCGGGGUAAUGGCCCACCAAGGCGACGAUCCGUAGCUGGUCUGAGAGGAUGAUCAGCCACACUGGAACUGAGACACGGUCCAGACUCCUACGGGAGGCAGCAGUGGGGAAUAUUGGACAAUGGGCGCAAGCCUGAUCCAGCCAUACCGCGUGGGUGAAGAAGGCCUUCGGGUUGUAAGGCCCUUUUGUUGGGAAAGAAAUCUUUCAGGCUAAUACCCUGGGAGGAUGACGGUACCCAAAGAAUAAGCACCGGCUAACUUCGUG
rnacentral:rRNA from 1 species